GCCCGGGUGGCGAAAUUGGUAGACGCGCUAGAUUCAGGUUCUAGUGUCGGUUACGACAUGCAGGUUCGAUUCCUGUCUCGGGCA
rnacentral:tRNA from 1 species